UUGGUAGAUGACCAUGCCAGUCCUUUUCAAG
rnacentral:piRNA from 1 species